rnacentral:rRNA from 1 species
ACUGUGGGCUUGCAGCUGAUACGGGCAGGCUUGAGUUCGGUAGGGGAGACUGGAAUUCCUGGUGUAGCGGUGAAAUGCGCAGAUAUCAGGAGGAACACCGGUGGCGAAGGCGGGUCUCUGGGCCGAUACUGACGCUGAGGAGCGAAAGCGUGGGGAGCGAACAGGAUUAGAUACCCUGGUAGUCCACGCUGUAAACGUUGGGCGCUAGGUGUGGGGGGCCUCUCCGGUUCUCUGUGCCGCAGCUAACGCAUUAAGCGCCCCGCCUGGGGAGUACGGCCGCAAGGCUAAAACUCAAAGGAAUAGACGGGGGCCCGCACAAGCGGCGGAGCAUGCGGAUUAAUUCGAUGCAACGCGAAGAACCUUACCUGGGUUUGACAUGUGCGCUAAAGCCGUAGAGAUAUGGUGUCCUUCGGGGGCGUUCACAGGUGGUGCAUGGCUGUCGUCAGCUCGUGUCGUGAGAUGU